rnacentral:rRNA from 1 species
UACGUAGGGUGCGAGCGUUGUCCGGAAUUAUUGGGCGUAAAGAGCUCGUAGGCGGUGUGUCACGUCGGCCGUGAAAACCUGCAGCUUAACUGUGGGCGUGCGGUCGAUACGGGCAUCACUGGAGUUCGGCAGGGGAGACUGGAAUUCCUGGUGUAGCGGUGAAAUGCGCAGAUAUCAGGAGGAACACCGGUGGCGAAGGCGGGUCUCUGGGCCGAUAACUGACGCUGGAGGAGCGGAAAGCCGUGGGGAGCAAACAGG